UUUCAUCUGGGGCAAUAUCAUGGAGUGCGCCGCCCUCAUUUAACUGUUUUGUUCAAAACGAUUAUUUCAAUGAGUGCGGACCCCUAAAACAAAAGUACCGUACUCGGAAAACUCCUUCAAGACACUGUGACUGCGACAAGGUUCCGUCUUCGAAACAAAAGAACCACGCGGCCUGCAGUUACAUCUUUGACAAAGUUGUGACUCACUUCUUAGCCCCACUGCUCCGUUGCGCUCCGUCGUCCUGCGUAACGUCGACUACAAUCGGCGGAUAAAGCAGAAAUUGUACGGAGAUUCAUUGUACAACAACUGUCAAAACCUAUGGAAAACAAUUGAACACGGCUGGUCAUGACUGAAAACGCAGAAAAUUUUACGCUGACGCACGUUGAUGUCAAAACCUAUGGAAGAACAACGGAGACGCAACGUAGCCAUAGGCGAAUCCGGAAGACAGAUGAGUUACAGAGCUGUGAUGGGUCCAGAACAAAUUUCCCCAAGUCCGUACUAGCCGUGGUGCGCCUGUAAGUCCUGGGUCUAUGGCGCGCGACGCGUCGCUAGAAAGGAAAUGAAAACGCGAGACAAAGCAAGCCUGUUUUAGGGUACCGCGGUUGAAACUGUAAUUAUAAAUUGUCGUUCUUUAAGCUCAGUUCUGGAUAAUCCCAGAACUGAGCUAAUGCUCCCUGGCAUAGUUCUAGAGUCUACAGCAGCUCAAAAAGUGUGUGAAAUGUUUUAUUCAGGAUCAGCAACGCUCCUGUGACAUACUGGUGUUGACUGCAGGCUGCUGGUCACCACACUUCAACACAUUUGGCCUUUUUUUUUAU